rnacentral:rRNA from 1 species
CCUACGGGAGGCAGCAGUGAGGAAUAUUGGUCAAUGGACGAGAGUCUGAACCAGCCAAGUAGCGUGAAGGAUGACUGCCCUAUGGGUUGUAAACUUCUUUUAUAAAGGAAUAAAACGAGGCACGUGUGCCUUUUUGCAUGUACUUUAUGAAUAAGGAUCGGCUAACUCCGUGCCAGCAGCCGCGGUAAUAUGGAGGAUCCGAGCGUUAUCCGGAUUUAUUGGGUUUAAAGGGAGCGUAGAUGGGUUGUUAAGUCAGUUGUGAAAGUUUGCGGCUCAACCGUAAAAUUGCAAUUGAUACUGGCAGUCGUGAGUACAGUUGAGGUAGGCUGAAUUCGUGGUGUAGCGGUGAAAUGCUUAGAUAUCACGAAGAACCCCGAUUGCGAAGGCAGCUUACUAAACUGUGACUGACAUUGAUGCUCGAAAGUGUGGGUAUCAAACAGGAUUAGAUACCCGUGUAGUC